UCCUGCUUGUUGUAAAACGCGGAGUAUGCUAAUACGCGAGCAAUACGAAUAACAUGCUAUCUGCUGUUGAUAUCUUCCUGCCACGAGUACGUAUCCGUUCGAGUACAUAGAAAACUACUUAUUAUCGAAGCACAUUGAAGGCGCUCAGUGUAUUUAUUGUCGGAGGGGAAAUAAAGUGAAAAAAGAGACGUGGUGCCACGACCUGCGCGCUAUAAAUGUUGAAAUGUCGAAAACGUUUGAACGGAGUGAGUGCAUUUGGUAAUUAAAAGUAUAUCACGAGUCUAUCGCUGUGCCUCCUUUUCUACUCGUACAGCGGUUGUUGUCUAUACAUGUACCUACUUUACAUAUUGUGUACAUACUGGGCAGUACUCGAGGAACCGAGAAUAAAACAUCGAAAAAACAACGAGUGCUAAUUAUUCAUAUAUCCACAUUCGAGCGGCCGCAGCAGGAGCGCAGCCAGUUCGCGAAAUAUUCCGCGAAUCGAGGCGACAAAGACUUGUUUGGUAACUAGGCAUUCUAGCCGCGGCGAUUGAAAUAUUUAUGAAUGGAUGAAUUCGUUAAUGGAGGUCUAUACCAGCGAGAAGGACGCGCCAACGAAUCGUCGAGAAAGUGGGACGGAGAAUAAUACACUUACCAGAAACUUCGCCAUGUUGAAAAACCAGCUGCUUGAAGUGGUAGACUCACUGCAAGUCCUUCUGGAAAAUUCUGUAUGCCGAUACCAAUAGCCAAAUUUCUGCAAACAAGAAAAAAAACAUAAUUAUCAUCGUAUUCAUGCAAAGUUUUAUUACAGUGUGACAUAAGAGACUUGUUCAUAAAAUGCUAGAUAUUGAAUCCUUUA